AGUGAACGUUGGCGGCGUGGAUUAGGCAUGCAAGUCGAGCGCGAACCGUAGCAAUACGGGGAGAGCGGCGAAAGGGAGAGGAAUACGUGGAUACCUACCCUCAGGUUCAGGAUAGCUAUGGGAAACUAUAGGUAAUACUGAAUAAUAUCUCCGGAUCAAAGGUGUGAUUCCACCUGAGGAGGGGUCCGCGUCCUAUUAGCUAGUUGGUGAGGUAACGGCUCACCAAGGCGAAGAUGGGUACGGGAUGUGAGAGCAUGAUCCCGCUCACUGGGACUGAGACACUGCCCAGACACCUACGGGUGGCUGCAGUCGAGAAUCUUCGGCAAUGGGGGAAACCCUGACCGGGCGACGCCGCGUGCGAGAUGAAGGCCUUCGGGUUGUAAAUCGCUGUCAGUGGGGAGGAAAUGCCAGUGGGUUAUCCCAUUGGUUUGACCUAUCCGCAGAGGAAGGACGGGCUAAGUUCGUGCCAGCCGCCGCCGUAACAC
rnacentral:rRNA from 1 species